CCAGGGGAGCGAAAGGGAUUAGAUACCCCUGUAGUCCCUGGCCGUAAACGAUGAAACACUAGGUGUCGGGGGAAUCGACCCCCCUCGGUGUCGUAGCCAACGCGUUAAGUGUUCCGCCUGGGGAGUACGCACGCAAAGUGUGAAACUCAAAGGAAUUGACGGGGGCCCGCACAAAGCGGUGGAGUAUGUGGUUUAAUUCGAUGCAACGCGAAGAACCUUACCAGGGUUUGACAUCCUGCGAAUCUCUUGGAAACGAGAGAGUGCCUUCGGGAGCGCAGUGACAGGUGGUGCAUGGCUGUCGUCAGCUCGUGUCGUGAGAUGUUGGGUUAAGUCCCGCAACGAGCGCAACCCACGUCGUUAGUUGCCAGCAUUCAGUUGGGCACUCUAGCGAGACCGCCGGUGAUAAACCGGAGGAAGGUGUGGAUGACGUCAAGUCAUCAUGCCCCUUACAUCCUGGGCUACGCACGUACUACAAUGCUACGGACAAAGGGCAGCAAACUCGCGAGAGCUAGCAAAUCCCAUAAACCGUGGCUCAGUUCAGAUCGUAGGCUGCAACUCGCCUACGUGAAGGAGGAAUCGCUAGUAAUCGCAGGUCAGCAUACUGCGGUGAAUACGUUCCCGGGCCUUGUACACAC
rnacentral:rRNA from 1 species